CAGUCGAGCGGUAGAGAGAAGCUUGCUUCUCUUGAGAGCGGCGGACGGGUGAGUAAUGCCUAGGAAUCUGCCUGGUAGUGGGGGAUAACGUUCGGAAACGAACGCUAAUACCGCAUACGUCCUACGGGAGAAAGCAGGGGACCUUCGGGCCUUGCGCUAUCAGAUGAGCCUAGGUCGGAUUAGCUAGUUGGUGAGGUAAUGGCUCACCAAGGCGACGAUCCGUAACUGGUCUGAGAGGAUGAUCAGUCACACUGGAACUGAGACACGGUCCAGACUCCUACGGGAGGCAGCAGUGGGGAAUAUUGGACAAUGGGCGAAAGCCUGAUCCAGCCAUGCCGCGUGUGUGAAGAAGGUCUUCGGAUUGUAAAGCACUUUAAGUUGGGAGGAAGGGCAUUAACCUAAUACGUUAGUGUUUUGACGUUACCGACAGAAUAAGCACCGGCUAACUCUGUGCCAGCAGCCGCGGUAAUACAGAGGGUGCAAGCGUUAAUCGGAAUUACUGGGCGUAAAGCGCG
rnacentral:rRNA from 1 species